rnacentral:rRNA from 1 species
GAUGAACGCUGGCGGCGUGCCUAAUACAUGCAAGUCGAGCGAACAGAUAAGGAGCUUGCUCCUUUGACGUUAGCGGCGGACGGGUGAGUAACACGUGGGUAACCUACCUAUAAGACUGGGAUAACUUCGGGAAACCGGAGCUAAUACCGGAUAACAUUUGGAACCGCAUGGUUCUAAAGUGAAAGAUGGUUUUGCUAUCACUUAUAGAUGGACCCGCGCCGUAUUAGCUAGUUGGUAAGGUAACGGCUUACCAAGGCGACGAUACGUAGCCGACCUGAGAGGGUGAUCGGCUACACUGGAACUGAGACACGGUCCAGACUCCUACGGGAGGCAGCAGUAGGGAAUCUUCCGCAAUGGGCGAAAGCCUGACGGAGCAACGCCGCGUGAGUGAUGAAGGGUUUCGGCUCGUAAAACUCUGUUAUUAGGGAAGAACAAACGUGUAAGUAACUGUGCACGUCUUGACGGUACCUAAUCAGAAAGCCACGGCUAACUACGUG